rnacentral:lncRNA from 1 species
CGGAAUGUGGCAAGUAUGUUCAAAUCAUGUUCAAAUAACUUAAGAAUCUUUGAGACAAGGGCUUACAAUGUAGCAGAGGCUGGGCUCAAACUUGGAACCCUCUUGAGUCACCCUCCCAAGCACUGGGACUAAGGAAGAUGCCAGAGCCAUAUAGAGGAGCAGCUUCCCUGUGGUUCCCAUUCCUGGGUCACCUUCUUCCCGGAGGAGGGAGAGGACAUUCUUUGCCAAAUAAGUCUUGGUUCCACUUGGAAGAGAGACCGUUUACAAACAGACAGCAGUCUGGGUGUUUCCUGGACUCCCACUCUUCUCAGAUCUCAGCUGGAGUUCCUUUUCUUGGCGGUCUUUCUGCAGGAGUCUCCAGGUCACUUUCCAGGGCUCUCUCCUCCAGCUGGCAGCAGGGGGCUUGAGGCAAGGAGAGGUAGCCCGCCUCCCCCCUGCAGCUUUGCCUAGAUGGAUGGACGUGCCUUUUGUAGCCUGGCCUGGCACCUUGUUCCAUUCCCCUCUUGGUGGACCUUCCUUCCUGCUGCAGGUUACCAAAC